rnacentral:rRNA from 1 species
CCUACGGGAGGCAGCAGUGAGGAAUAUUGGUCAAUGGGCGCGAGCCUGAACCAGCCAAGUCGCGUGAGGGAAGACGGUCCUAUGGAUUGUAAACCUCUUUUGUCGGGGAGCAAAAGACGCCACGCGUGGCGUUCCGAGAGUACCCGAAGAAAAAGCAUCGGCUAACUCCGUGCCAGCAGCCGCGGUAAUACGGAGGAUGCGAGCGUUAUCCGGAUGUAUUGGGUUUAAAGGGUGCGCAGGCGGAAGAUCAAGUCAGCGGUAAAAUUGAGAGGCUCAACCUCUUCGAGCGGUUGAAACUGGUUUUCUUGAGUGAGUGAGAGGUAUGCGGAAUGCGUGGUGUAGCGGUGAAAUGCAUAGAUAUCACGCAGAACUCCGAUUGCGAAGGCAGCAUACCGGCGCUCAACUGACGCUCAUGCACGAAAGUGUGGGUAUCGAACAGGAUUAGAUACCCUAGUAGUC